rnacentral:rRNA from 1 species
GACGAACGCUGGCGGCGUGCUUAACACAUGCAAGUCGAACGGAGUGGCGAACGGGUGAGUAACACGUGGGUGACCUGCCCUGCACUUCGGGAUAAGCCUGGGUAACUGGGUCUAAUACCGGAUAGUGUGGGAUGGGCCCGCGGCCUAUCGGCUUGUUGGUGGGGUAAUGGCCUACCAAGGCGGCGACGGGUAGCCGGCCUGGGAGGGUGGACGGGCACAUGGGGACUGAGACACGGCGCAGACUCCUACGGGGGGCAGCAGGGGGGAAUAUGGCACAAUGGGCGGAAGCGUGAUGCGGAGACGCCGGGGGGGGGAUGACGGUCUUCGGGUUGUAAACUCCUUUCACCAUCGACGCGGUAGAUGGAGAAGAAGCACCGGCUAACUACGUGCCAGCAGCCGCGGUAAUUC